rnacentral:tRNA from 4 species
GCCGACAUAGCUCAGUUGGUAGAGCGACGCUCUCGUAAAGCGUAGGCCAGCAGUUCGAUCCUGCUUGUCGGCUCCA